rnacentral:rRNA from 1 species
UGCGUAGGGACCGAGCGUUGUCCGGAUUCAUUGGGCGUAAAGAGCUCGUAGGCGGCUGCUCAAGUCGAAUGUGAAACCUCGAGGCUUAACCUCGAGCCUGCAUUCGAUACUGGGCGGCUAGAGUCUGGUAGGGGGAUCUGGAAUUCCUGGUGUAGCGGUGGAAUGCGCAGAUAUCAGGAGGAACACCAGUGGCGAAGGCGGGUCUCUGGACAGUUCCUGACGCUGAGGCACGAAGGUCAGGGGAGCAAACGGG